rnacentral:lncRNA from 1 species
UACAUUCCACAGGAUGGAUCCAAGGGCUUCAAAUGUGCUUCACAGACAAGGAAAAAAUCUCCCAGUUGGCCGCUCCUGGAUUCCUUAGCUCGGAACUCCAGACACAUAUUCAGGUGCCAUAUGGGGUCAUUUUCAGGUCUCUCUUAAUAUGAUCAUGAGGGAAGUCUGGAAGUAUCUCUUGAAUCUAAAAAUGCAGAUGCCCCACACCUCAUCUGUUCCCAUCUUGGCACCAUCCUACCUGCACCUCGGCAAGGAGAUUUGGUCUCAUGUUUGUCACCGCAAGCAAUUGAAACAACUGGCGUGUCUGGCAACAGAUGAAAUAAGGCAUGGAAUUUAUACUCAUAUACCUGUUACUUGUGCCAUCAAAAAAUACUUUAAAGGAGAAGGAGCAACCCAUGCUCAGGUGUUCACUUUUAAACAAUCUCAGAAGAGGAGGGCCCCACUGGGACCUUCUAGAAAAGACAUGGCCUAGUACAGAUAUGUUCUACAACUGGAAAAAAAUGGUUAUGAUUGAGGCUUAGAAGUGGAGUGCAGUGAAGAAACUUUAGGGAAGCCUGACAACCACACCCUCUGCUGAUCCCUGUGGAAUUUUACAUGGAUAAUGAGUAAAAGACUGUCCUGCCAAUAGAGAAUACAGUGAAACGGUAUGGAACAUACACAGUGGAACAGAGGACACUGAUGGAACAGUGUUUAUAAGCACAAAGUUUGGAAGUACGGAAUCCUAGAUAAAAUCCUGACUGUGGAAUUAACUGCGUGACCUUCGGCAAAUUACUUCAUCUCUUUGAGCCUCAGUGUCUUCGAUUGACUCCAGAAGAAGGAGAUGAAGAAGCCUAGAUUCCAUAAUGCGGGAGUCCCAGAUCCUCAAAGUACGAUGAUUCGCCAAAUCAAGAAAUGAGGAUUAGGAAGCAGUCACCCUCGAAAGGAACUAAAUCAUCACCUUGGGGGUUUUUGCAGUGCCAGGUGUGGAUUGAGAUUCAGCCUUGUAAGACUUACUCACUGAAAACUGGAAUUUGCUUAGUUCCAAGGUAACCUUUU